UACGAAGGGGGCUAGCGUUGUUCGGAAUUACUGGGCGUAAAGGGCGUGUAGGCGGCCCGUUAAGACAGGUGUGAAAUUCCUGGGCUCAACCCAGGACGUGCGCCUGUGACUGGCGGGCUUGAGUCCGGGAGAGGAUGGUGGAACUCCCAGUGUAGAGGUGAAAUUCGUAGAUAUUGGGAAGAACACCCGUGGCGAAGGCGGCCAUCUGGACCGGUACUGACGCUAAGGCGCGACAGCGUGGGGAG
rnacentral:rRNA from 1 species